UACGUAGGGUGCAAGCGUUGUCCGGAAUUAUUGGGCGUAAAGAGCUCGUAGGCGGUCAGUCGCGUCUGCUGUGAAAACUCGGGGCUUAACUCCGGGCCUGCAGUGGGUACGGGCUGACUAGAGUGCGGUAGGGGAGACUGGAAUUCCUGGUGUAGCGGUGAAAUGCGCAGAUAUCGGGAGGAACACCGGUGGCGAAGGCGGUUCUCUGGGCCUUACCUGACGCUGAGGAGCGAAAGCGUGGGGAGCGAACAGG
rnacentral:rRNA from 1 species